rnacentral:rRNA from 1 species
GAUGAACGCUAGCGGCAGGCCUAACACAUGCAAGUCGCGGGAGAAGCCCUUUCGGGGGCAGAAACCGGCGCACGGGUGCGUAACGCGUAUGCAACCUACCUUUCACAGGGGGAUAGCCCGAAGAAAUUUGGAUUAAUACCCCAUAAUAUUAUUGGAUGGCAUCAUUUGAUAAUUAAAACUGCGGUGGUGAAAGAUGGGCAUGCGUCCUAUUAGCUAGUUGGAGUGGUAACGGCACCCCAAGGCUACGAUAGGUAGGGGUCCUGAGAGGGAGAUCCCCCACACUGGUACUGAGACAGAGACCAGACUCCUACGGGAGGCAGCAGUGAGGAAUAUUGGUCAAUGGUCGGAAGACUGAACCAGCCAUGCCGCGUGCAGGAAGAAUGCCUUAUGGGUUGUAAACUGCUUUUAUAUGGGAAGAAUAAGGCGUACGUGUACGUUGAUGACGGUACCAGAUGAAUAAGCAUCGGCUAACUCCGUG